rnacentral:tRNA from 1 species
AUUUAUAUAAUUUAUAUAGAAUAUUGCACUGAAGCUGCAAAAGAGGGUUAGUACCCUGUAAAUG